UGACGGAGCAACGCCGCGUGAGUGAUGAAGGCUUUCGGGUCGUAAAACUCUGUUGUUAGGGAAGAACAAGUACGAGAGUAACUGCUCGUACCUUGACGGUACCUAACCAGAAAGCCACGGCUAACUACGUGCCAGCAGCCGCGGUAAUACGUAGGUGGCAAGCGUUAUCCGGAAUUAUUGGGCGUAAAGCGCGCGCAGGCGGUUUCUUAAGUCUGAUGUGAAAGCCCACGGCUCAACCGUGGAGGGUCAUUGGAAACUGGGGAACUUGAGUGCAGAAGAGAAAAGCGGAAUUUCCUUGUAUAGGGGUGAAAUGUGUAGAUAUGGGGGAACACCCGUGGGGAGGGGAGGUUUUUGGUGUGUAACUGACGCUGAGGCGCGAAAGAGUGGGGAGCAAACAGGAUUAGAUACCCCGGUAGUCCACGCCCUAAAAGAUUAGUGCUAAGUGUUAG
rnacentral:rRNA from 1 species